rnacentral:rRNA from 1 species
CCUAACACAUGCAAGUCGAACGAAGUAGCAAUACUUAGUGGCAGACGGGUGAGUAACAUGUGGGUAUCUACCCUUUGGCCUGGAAUAACACGAGGAAACUUGUGCUAAUACUGGAUAAGUCUUUACGGAGAAAGCUUUAUGCACCAUUGGAUGAGCCCGCACUUGAUUAGUUUGUUGGUGGGGUAAUGGCCUACCAAGACUUUGAUCAAUAGCUGAUUUGAGAGGAUGAUCAGCCACAUUGGGACUGAGACACGGCCCAAACUCCUACGGGAGGCAGCAGUGGGGAAUCUUGCACAAUGGAGGAAACUCUGAUGCAGCGAUGCCGCGUGAGUGAAGAAGGCCCUUGGGUUGUAAAGCUCUUUCGUCGGGGAAGAAAAUGACUGUACCCGAAUAAGAAGGUCCGGCUAACUUCGUGCCAGCAGCCGCGGUAAUACGAAGGGACCUAGCGUAGUUCGGAAUUACUGGGCUUAAAGAGUUCGUAGGUGGUUGAAAAAGUUGGUGGUGAAAUCCCAGAGCUUAACUCUGGAACUGCCAUCAAAACUUUUCAGCUAGAGUUUGAUAGAGGAAAGCAGAAUUUCUAGUGUAGAGGUGAAAUUCGUAGAUAUUAGAAAGAAUACCAAUUGCGAAGGCAGCUUUCUGGAUCAUUACUGACGCUGAGGAACGAAAGCA